GACGAACGCUGGCGGCGUGCUUAACACAUGCAAGUCGAACGAUGAAGCCGGAGCUUGCUCUGGUGAAUUAGUGGCGAACGGGUGAGUAACACGUGAGUAACCUGCCCUUGACUCUGGGAUAACUGCGGGAAACUGUAGCUAAUACCGGAUACGACCCUCGGAGGCAUCUCCUGGGGGUGGAAAGAAUUUCGGUCAAGGAUGGACUCGCGGCCUAUCAGCUAGUUGGUGAGGUAAAGGCUCACCAAGGCGACGACGGGUAGCCGGCCUGAGAGGGUGACCGGCCACACUGGGACUGAGACACGGCCCAGACUCCUACGGGAGGCAGCAGGGGGGAAUAUUGGACAAUGGGCGAAAGCCUGAUCCAGCAACGCCGCGUGAGGGAUGACGGCCUUCGGGUUGUAAACCUCUUUCAGUACCGACGAAGCGCAAGUGACGGUAGGUACAGAAGAAGCACCGGCUAACCACGUGCCAGCCGCCGCCGUAA
rnacentral:rRNA from 1 species